AGAGAAUCGCUUAAACCCAGAAGGCAGAGGUUGCAGUGAGCCGAGAUCACGCCACUGCACUCCAGCCUAGGUGACAGAG
rnacentral:snRNA from 1 species